CACAUUGGUAGAUGUGCAGGCCUCUGCGUAGGACCCGGAGGGAGGACAUGCUGCUGCUUCCGGGAGCUGCUUGAGCUCAUCCUUCCCCUGGUAGUAGGGGGUAACAUCCAGUGGCACUUGCUCCUUGCCAUCUGGCCAAUCCUGGAAUAUGAAUUAUUUUACUGCCUGAAGCACGUCAUCCUGCUCGGUGCUUUGUUGGAUUCCCUAGAGCCUCCCAUCACAGAUGAGAAGAUAUGCCUCCCCUGGAACACCAAGGAGAUGGAGCUCUGCUAAAUUCAGGGGAGACAAGUGAGGAUGGAAUGAAGUGGACCAGGAGAGCUGCCACUUUUUGAAGCAUUGUCCCCCUGUAGAACCUGAGGAUUUCCAUGCAUAAAUCAAGGGAAUGCUGAAGAUAUUAUAAAACAGUUUAGCACUCACUUCAACUUCCAAGGACUACAAACAUCAAGAAACCAAACAAAAUUGGAAGUCUGAAACAGCUGAAAAUGUGAAGAGGACAAGAUGCCACUUUCUUAGCAAUUCCAUAUCGUAAAGUAAUGAGCACUGUACUGGGAACCCAGAACAAUGGAAUUCUAAUCCUAUUUCUAACACUGACAUGCCUUACUGAUACUUUGUACUCAU